rnacentral:rRNA from 1 species
UGCGUAGGCGGCUGAUUAAGUCGGAUGUGAAAUCCCUGAGCUUAACUUAGGAAUUGCAUUCGAUACUGGUCAGCUAGAGUAUGGGAGAGGAUGGUAGAAUUCCAGGUGUAGCGGUGAAAUGCGUAGAGAUCUGGAGGAAUACCGAUGGCGAAGGCAGCCAUCUGGCCUAAUACUGACGCUGAGGUACAAAGCAUGGGGAGCAAACA